AAUCUUGAACCCUUUGUUACACAGAAUACUCACGGCACUAAAUUCUUUCUCACAUCAGGAACAUGCAACACAUUUGUCAAAGUCAAUUUCUUCCCAUAUGUGAAGUUGAGUUCCACCAUCCCUUGAGCAAACACCUUAAUCGAUUGAUAGUUUCCCAUAAGCACUUCAAGAUUUUCCAUUAGUUCAUAACUCUUGAAUUGUUGUCAGUCAUUACACACAUGAAC
rnacentral:lncRNA from 1 species